CUGUCUGCAGUGGGCGGGGCCAGGGCAGCACCGCCUCCUGCACUUGAAGUGCUGAGACCGGCGCUCAGACUCUGGGCACCUACGCCCCAACUGACUUGGCUAGCCAGCGAUCCUGCUAGUCCUGUCCUGUGUCUCGCGCCACUUAUGACCCAAGCCUGCUCUUUCUUUCUGUGGGACGCGCUCGUUGGAUAUAAGCUCACCUCACCUUUUGACCCUUCUCAUAUUAGUCAGGGGCAUAAAGCAAUAAAAGAGAAUUCGAAAUUGUGACUUCCCAGCUCUGAUGUGCAAACCUUGCACCUGACAUAGGAGGAAUCAGCAGGAGCAGCCUACCUGCCCGUCGACGAUUCAUCCGUGGGAGAGAUUCUGGGGGUUUCCAUAACACCGCGUUCGUGUGUACAGGGUGGCACUCAUUGCCAUUGUUUAAUAAUAAACUGUUGGUGCGUUCGUCUCUGGCACCAGGCUGUGAGCGCCUUGAGUGCAAGAAGUGUCCUAUCCGGCCUGCCAGGUGUCCUUAUAGGCAGCGUGGGGAGUGACAUGCGGGAGGUGCUCAAAUAUUAGCAACAAAAAGUGUAUUGGGGGGAAAAGUGUAUUGAAUACAGUUGCUUAAACAGGUCCAGGAAAUAGCACCUCCUUCCUUAAAUGAAAAUAGUGCACUGAAACACACUGCAGUUAAAAGUGUUUUAACGGUGAAGAAAUGAUUUAACUUUAAAAUAGUCAACCAAACAUUCCUAGUGAGAUAUAUUUUUUCAAGAGAAAAUAAAAAUUUAGGCCUUUUUCACAGCUCAUAUUGUCAGUAAUAACAUUCAUAUCAUUAUUUCUGAAAUAUACAUAUUAAUAGUAAGCAUUAAAGUAAUUACGUUUCUUGAAACCAAGAUUUUGAGUAUUGGAGAAAGGAAAUACAAUACAUAAUCAAAGAAAUUAAGUAAAAAUUAUGCAAACCUAAAUUUGAAUUUGGAAAUAUCAGUAUGAACUCAUGGUAUUUUUUGUUUUUUCAUUAAAAGUCUGUCCACUGAAAAGGCCUGAAACAACGAUCAACACAAUGCACACUCUUAUUCUCCAUCAUUGGUAAAUAUAAUUUCCCACCAAGAGUCACCUGGGCUCCUCUUGGAUAUCAAGGACUGUUUCUAAGUCUGGGGCAGGAAAAGUACAGUAAAGUCUAAGACAUGUUGGUUGUAUCAGAAAGCAAAGAAGAAAGUGAAGAUAGGAGUUGUGUCAAAGAUUCGGGGACAGGGGGUGGGCAUUCAAAGGUAUGCACAUUGGUCAAAGGACAAUUAAGCAUUCAAAAAUGGUAACAGCAACUGAUUGAUACAUCUACUAUGUCCAAAAUUAAUGUGUGUUGAUUUUCUAAAACAUCAUUUGGCCACCUUUGGAAGAUGCCAAAGAAUCAUCACAUUCUGAAAACUGAUAAAAGAAUCAAGCAUCCUAACUUUCCUGUUACAAACUGAAUCUCAAAUAGUGUGGGAAAGUUCUUCACAGAAUAACGGAUAAUAAAUGCAGAAGAUAGA